GUAUGAUGUAAUUUAGAUUCUGAAGACCGCAUUAAUGAUAAAAGUAUUUUGGGUAGAAAACUGACCUACCAUACCGUUUCCAUUCAAAACCAAAACUAACAUAAUACCCUGUCUAAUUUGUCCCAUAGCUUCAUGGGUUACAUACAAAAUAAAACACUGUUUCCCUGAGUCCAGGAAAUAAACACACGCACAUAAUGUUAAAAAGAGGUAGUAUAAAUCAGGAAUUAUAAAGACCUGACCUGAUAGUAGCCUAUCAGUUAACAGUUUACCUAAAGCUCUGUUGUAUUCUUCCUUCCUGUGUGACAUGAUUUUAGAUUACCUGCUGGGUUUAAUGGCAUGCACACAAGUCUAUGGCAGUCAAAGGGUCAGUCCCCACAUAUUUAGCCUGAGCUGGCCAUUGAAAGACACCCCCUGGGUAAAAUGUACAGCAUUCAAUUGUGAAGACACAUUGGUUAACCCAUUCAGUGUCGGGCUGGUGAGAAAUGUGCUUCUUAACUGUCUGGCACAAAAGAGGCUGAGCCAGAUCAACAUAGCAGGCAGAUCGGGUAAGCCUCUACUUUUUUUUGCAUCAGUGAUUUAAAACUUACAUUAUUAUAAUGUAAUAAUGUACAUUAACCCCUUCAAGACCAGCCAAGUAACAGGACUGGCAAAAUAAUCACAGAUUUGCCAAGAUCUG